rnacentral:rRNA from 1 species
AUUGAACGCUGGCGGCAGGCUUAACACAUGCAAGUCGAGCGGAGAGAAGUAGCUUGCUACUGAUCUAAGCGGCGGACGGGUGAGUAAUGCUUAGGAAUCUGCCUAUUAGUGGGGGACAACAUUUCGAAAGGAAUGCUAAUACCGCAUACGUCCUACGGGAGAAAGCAGGGGAUCUUCGGACCUUGCGCUAAUAGAUGAGCCUAAGUCGGAUUAGCUAGUUGGUGGGGUAAAGGCCUACCAAGGCGACGAUCUGUAGCGGGUCUGAGAGGAUGAUCCGCCACACUGGGACUGAGACACGGCCCAGACUCCUACGGGAGGCAGCAGUGGGGAAUAUUGGACAAUGGGCGGAAGCCUGAUCCAGCCAUGCCGCGUGUGUGAAGAAGGCCUUAUGGUUGUAAAGCACUUUAAGCGAGGAGGAGGCUACUUUAGUUAAUACCUAGAGAUAGUGGACGUUACUCGCAGAAUAAGCACCGGCUAACUCUGUGCCAGCCGCCGCAGUAAGAC